rnacentral:lncRNA from 1 species
GUUCCCAACCCUUGCUUUUGCUCUCAACACAAAAAGAAAUGGAGAACGAAGCCGUGAAGCCUGGUGAGGUAUUUUCUGAAGAGUGGUCCUUUGGCAUCUAAUCCCAGAACUCAAGAGGAGGAAACAGUUGUCAUAUUCAAGUAUGGGCCCAAUUACUUAGCAAUAUUGCAUCUACA